rnacentral:tRNA from 1 species
GUAAGAAGAGCCAUNGCAUCUGCCUUACAAGCAGAGGGUCGGCGGUUCGAGCCCGUCAUCCUCCACCA